rnacentral:rRNA from 1 species
UCGAACGGUAAGUGGUGUAGCAAUACAUCACCUAGAGUGACGUAAGGGUGCGUAACAAGUAUGCAAUCUGCCCUCAACAGGAGGAUAGCUCCCCGAAAGGGGAAUUAACACUCCAUAAUAUGAUUGAAUGGCAUCAUUUGAUUAUUAAAUCUCCGGAGGUUGAGGAUGAGCAUGCUUUUGAUUAGCUAGUUGGUAGUGUAAUGGACUACCAAGGCGAUGAUCAGUAGGGGAACUGAGAGGUUGAUCCCCCACACUGGCACUGAGAUACGGGCCAGACUCCUACGGGAGGCAGCAGUAGGGAAUAUUGGUCAAUGGGUGCGAGCCUGAACCAGCCAUGCCGCGUGCAGGAAGACGGCCUUCUGGGUUGUAAACUGCUUUUGACAGGGGAUAAAAUGACCAUGCGUGGUUAAUUGAAGGUACCUGUGGAAUAAGCCACGGCUAACUACGUGCCAGCAGCCGCGGUAAUACGUAGGUGGCAAGCGUUGUCCGGAUUUAUUGGGUUUAAAGGGUGCGUAGGCGGUCUUUUAAGUCAGUGCUGAAAUAUCCCGGCUUAACCGGGAGGGUGGCAUUGAUACUGAAGGACUUGAGUAAAGUUGAGGUUGGCGGAAUUGACGGUGUAGCGGUGAAAUGCUUAGAUAUCGUCAAGAACACCGAUAGUGCAGACAGCUAACUAAGCUUUAACUGACGCUGAGGCACGAAAGUGUGGGGUUCAAACAGGAUUAGAUACCCUGGUAGUCCACACCGUAAACGUUGAUUACUCGAUGUUGGCGAUACACAGUCAGCGUCUUAGCGCAAGCGAUAAGUAA